GUGCCAGCAGCCGCGGUAAUACGUAGGGUGCGAGCGUUGUCCGGAAUUAUUGGGCGUAAAGGGCUCGUAGGCGGUUUGUCGCGUCGGGAGUGAAAACGCCGUGCUUAACACGGCGCUUGCUUUCGAUACGGGCAGACUAGAGGUAUGCAGGGGAGAACGGAAUUCCUGGUGUAGCGGUGAAAUGCGCAGAUAUCAGGAGGAACACCGGUGGCGAAGGCGGUUCUCUGGGCAUUACCUGACGCUGAGGAGCGAAAGUGUGGGGAGCGAACAGGAUUAGAAACCCCAGUAGUCC
rnacentral:rRNA from 1 species